rnacentral:pre_miRNA from 7 species
CUUCAGAGCUCGAGAGUGGUCACAAAUCCCGGAUGAGCCCCCAAGAUAAAAGUCGCCUGAAACGGGAGGGACCCUCACUCAAGCCCCUGGAUGAUGUGACACCCAAGAACUCAUGAGAGACC